UGCCCCAUGGCUGAGUUGGUCACAGCGUCCGACUGUUAAUCGGAAGGUCGUGAGUUCGAGCCUCACUGGGGCAG
rnacentral:tRNA from 6 species